UACGGAGGGUGCGAGCGUUGUCCGGAAUCAUUGGGCGUAAAGGGCGCGUAGGUGGCGGGACAAGCGUGCGGUGAAAGCCUGGGGCUCAACCCCGGGUCGGCCGUGCGAACUGUUUUGCUUGAGCACUGUAGAGGCAGGCGGAAUUCCGGGUGUAGCGGUGGAAUGCGUAGAGAUCCGAAAGAACACCGGUGGCGAAGGCGGCCUGCUGGGCAGUAGCUGACACUGAGGCGCGACAGCGUGGGGAGCAAACAGG
rnacentral:rRNA from 1 species